rnacentral:rRNA from 1 species
CGAGCGAGCUGAUCCAGCAAUGCCGCGUGAGUGAUGAAGGCCUUCAGGUUGUAAAGCUCUUUUGUCCGGGAAGAAAUCCUUGGCUCUUAUACGCCAGGCCCAUGACGGUACCGGACCAACAACCCCCGGCUUACUACAUGCCAGCAGCCGCGGUAAUAA